UACGUAGGUGGCAAGCGUUGUCCGGAUUUACUGGGCGUAAAGAGCGCGCAGGCGGUCGUUUAAGUCGCAUGGGAAAGCCCCCGGCUUAACUGGGGAGGGUCAUUCGAUACUGCUCGACUUGAAGGCAGGAGAGGGUAGUGGAAUUCCCGGUGUAGUGGUGAAAUGCGUAGAUAUCGGGAGGAACACCAGUGGCGAAGGCGACUACCUGGCCUGUUCUUGACGCUGAGGCGCGAAAGCUGGGGGAGCAAACGGG
rnacentral:rRNA from 1 species